rnacentral:rRNA from 1 species
GGUUAAGCGACUAAGCGUACACGGUGGAUGCCCUGGCAGUCAGAGGCGAUGAAGGGCGUGCUAAUCUGCGAUAAGCGCCGGUAAGGUGAUAUGAACCGUUAUAACCGGCGAUACCCGAAUGGGGAAACCCAGUGUGAUUCGUCACACUAUCAUUAACUGAAUCCAUAGGUUAAUGAGGCGAACCGGGGGAACUGAAACAUCUAAGUACCCCGAGGAAAAGAAAUCAACCGAGAUUCCCCCAGUAGCGGCGAGCGAACGGGGAGGAGCCCAGAGCCUGAAUCAGCAUGUGUGUUAGUGGAAGCGUCUGGAAAGGCGCGCGAUACAGGGUGACAGCCCCGUACACAAAAGCGCAUGUGCUGUGAGCUCGAUGAGUAGGGCGGGACACGUGGUAUCCUGUCUGAAUAUGGGGGGACCAUCCUCCAAGGCUAAAUACUCCUGACUGACCGAUAGUGAACCAGUACCGUGAGGGAAAGGCGAAAAGAACCCCGGCGAGGGGAGUGAAAAAGAACCUGAAACCGUGUACGUACAAGCAGUGGGAGCACAGGUUUACCUGUGUGACUGCGUACCUUUUGUAUAAUGGGUCAGCGACUUAUAUUCUGUAGCAAGGUUAACCGUAUAGGGGAGCCGAAGGGAAACCGAGUCUUAACCGGGCGUUAAGUUGCAGGGUAUAGACCCGAAACCCGGUGAUCUAGCCAUGGGCAGGUUGAAGGUUGGGUAACACUAACUGGAGGACCGAACCGACUAAUGUUGAAAAAUUAGCGGAUGACCUGUGGCUGGGGGUGAAAGGCCAAUCAAACCGGGAGAUAGCUGGUUCUCCCCGAAAGCUAUUUAGGUAGCGCCUCGUGAAUUCAUCUCCGGGGGUAGAGCACUGUUUCGGCUAGGGGGCCAUCCCGGCUUACCAACCCGAUGCAAACUGCGAAUACCGGAGAAUGUUAUCACGGGAGACACACGGCGGGUGCUAACGUCCGUCGUGAAGAGGGAAACAACCCAGACCGCCAGCUAAGGUCCCAAAGUCAUGGUUAAGUGGGAAACGAUGUGGGAAGGCCCAGACAGCCAGGAUGUUGGCUUAGAAGCAGCCAUCAUUUAAAGAAAGCGUAAUAGCUCACUGGUCGAGUCGGCCUGCGCGGAAGAUGUAACGGGGCUAAACCAUGCACCGAAGCUGCGGCAGCGAACGUAUCACUUAAAGCGAUUCAGCGGGUUACGAUUGACGGAGCGAAGCGACGUCAAAGCGUAUACAAAGUCGAGUCGGUUUAAGGAUACGUUCGUUGGGUAGGGGAGCGUUCUGUAAGCCUGUGAAGGUGUGUCGUGAGGCAUGCUGGAGGUAUCAGAAGUGCGAAUGCUGACAUAAGUAACGAUAAAGCGGGUGAAAAGCCCGCUCGCCGGAAGACCAAGGGUUCCUGUCCAACGUUAAUCGGGGCAGGGUGAGUCGACCCCUAAGGCGAGGCCGAAAGGCGUAGUCGAUGGGAAACGGGUUAAUAUUCCCGUACUUGGUGUUACUGCGAAGGGGGGACGGAGAAGGCUAUGUUGGCCGGGCGACGGUUGUCCCGGUUUAAGCGUGUAGGUGUGUGUUCCAGGUAAAUCCGGUUCACUUUAACACUGAGGCGUGACGACGAGGCACUACGGUGCUGAAGCAACAAAUGCCCUGCUUCCAGGAAAAGCCUCUAAGCAUCAGGUAACAUCAAAUCGUACCCCAAACCGACACAGGUGGUCAGGUAGAGAAUACCAAGGCGCUUGAGAGAACUCGGGUGAAGGAACUAGGCAAAAUGGUGCCGUAACUUCGGGAGAAGGCACGCUGACACGUAGGUGAAGUGAUUUACUCAUGGAGCUGAAGUCAGUCGAAGAUACCAGCUGGCUGCAACUGUUUAUUAAAAACACAGCACUGUGCAAACACGAAAGUGGACGUAUACGGUGUGACGCCUGCCCGGUGCCGGAAGGUUAAUUGAUGGGGUCAGCGCAAGCGAAGCUCCUGAUCGAAGCCCCGGUAAACGGCGGCCGUAACUAUAACGGUCCUAAGGUAGCGAAAUUCCUUGUCGGGUAAGUUCCGACCUGCACGAAUGGCGUAAUGAUGGCCAGGCUGUCUCCACCCGAGACUCAGUGAAAUUGAACUCGCUGUGAAGAUGCAGUGUACCCGCGGCAAGACGGAAAGACCCCGUGAACCUUUACUAUAGCUUGACACUGAACAUUGAGCCUUGAUGUGUAGGAUAGGUGGGAGGCUUUGAAGUGUGGACGCCAGUCUGCAUGGAGCCGACCUUGAAAUACCACCCUUUAAUGUUUGAUGUUCUAACGUGGACCCGUGAUCCGGGUUGCGGACAGUGUCUGGUGGGUAGUUUGACUGGGGCGGUCUCCUCCUAAAGAGUAACGGAGGAGCACGAAGGUUGGCUAAUCCUGGUCGGACAUCAGGAGGUUAGUGCAAUGGCAUAAGCCAGCUUGACUGCGAGCGUGACGGCGCGAGCAGGUGCGAAAGCAGGUCAUAGUGAUCCGGUGGUUCUGAAUGGAAGGGCCAUCGCUCAACGGAUAAAAGGUACUCCGGGGAUAACAGGCUGAUACCGCCCAAGAGUUCAUAUCGACGGCGGUGUUUGGCACCUCGAUGUCGGCUCAUCACAUCCUGGGGCUGAAGUAGGUCCCAAGGGUAUGGCUGUUCGCCAUUUAAAGUGGUACGCGAGCUGGGUUUAGAACGUCGUGAGACAGUUCGGUCCCUAUCUGCCGUGGGCGCUGGAGAACUGAGGGGGGCUGCUCCUAGUACGAGAGGACCGGAGUGGACGCAUCACUGGUGUUCGGGUUGUCAUGCCAAUGGCACUGCCCGGUAGCUAAAUGCGGAAGAGAUAAGUGCUGAAAGCAUCUAAGCACGAAACUUGCCCCGAGAUGAGUUCUCCCUGAGACUUAAAGUCUCCUGAAGGAACGUUGAAGACGACGACGUUGAUAGGCCGGGUGUGUAAGCGCAGCGAUGCGUUGAGCUAACCGGUACUAAUGAACCGUGAGGCUUAACCUU